rfam:Lasius niger Lnig_2.1_780, whole genome shotgun sequence.
AAAACGGCCCUUUUCAGGGCCAACAAUAAUAUAACAUUGGAUGUUCU